rnacentral:rRNA from 1 species
UACGAAGGGGGCUAGCGUUGUUCGGAAUUACUGGGCGUAAAGCGCACGUAGGCGGAUACUUAAGUCAGGGGUGAAAUCCCGGGGCUCAACCCCGGAACUGCCUUUGAUACUGGGUAUCUCGAGUCCGGAAGAGGUGAGUGGAAUUCCGGGUGGAGUGGUGAAAUGCGUAGAUAUCCGGAGGAAUACCAAAGGCGAAGGCAGUGUCCUGGAGGGUUAACUGACGCUGAGGCGCGAAAGCUAGGGGAGCGAACAGG